UACGAACUGUGCGAACGUUAUUCGGAAUCACUGGGCUUACAGGGUGCGUAGGCGGCUUGUUAAGUAGGGUGUGAAAGCCCCCGCUCAACCGGGGAAUUGCGCCCUAAACUGGCGAGCUGGAGUGAGAUAGGGGUGUGUGGAACUUCCGGUGGAGCGGUGAAAUGUGUUGAUAUCGGAAGGAACGCCGGUGGCGAAAGCGACACACUGGAUCUUGUCUGACGCUGAGGCACGAAAGCCAGGGGAGCGAACGGG
rnacentral:rRNA from 1 species